rnacentral:misc_RNA from 1 species
GUAGUAGUUUAGCCCUGC